GCACCCGUAGCUCAAUGGAUAGAGUAGCUGACUUCGAAUCAGUUGGUUGGGGGUUCGAGUCCCUCCGGGUGCGCCA
rnacentral:tRNA from 1 species